rnacentral:ncRNA from 1 species
CCUGGGCUGCCAUUUCACGAUCAGACAGGCCACCGCAAAUCUGGAUAAUACGGUCAGACAGCGUCGACUUACCGUGGUCAAUGUGAGCAAUGAUCGAAAAGUUACGUAUGUUCUUCAUAUAGUUAAAUAAUUAUGCCUUACGAAUUCCUGGAGGCCGCUGUUCUUAGCCUGACGUUUUUCAGUGCGAAAACGCAGCAUUCUACACUACAUCCCCGCAACCUGGAAAUGCACUUAGAGCCAAGCAUAGCGCGAAGAAACGGCGUUUUCUUUUUUGAGAUGUAAAUAAUGAUAAAGCCCGGUGGAUCACCGGGCUUCAGAAGAGAGCGUCUCGACACGAAGCUGGUCAGGCGCGAGUGCAACAUUGAGGAUAACGGGUUGCCACUCUUCACGUGCAGCGAGCUUUGGCGACAGGCCUUUGGCAAGCCAAAAUCCACCUACGCCACCCAGUGCAGCACCACACAUGGCAGCCAAAUCGGUGCCAAACAACGUCUGGAAAAUACCGCCCAUAACAAACAAACCAACCAGUGGGGAGAGAUAAACCAGCAUCGCGGAGGUCAACAGACUGCCUUCUGCGAUGCCCAGUUCCACCUUCUGCCCUGCCACCAGCGGCUGUUCGCUCGGGACGGCGAUCGUAUGCGACGUUUGCGGCCCCAGCUUGUUGAGCACGCGACUGCCGCAACCCGCUCUGGACGCGCAGCUGUUACAUGAUGCUUUUACGUCACAGUUCACCAGCGCAACGCCAUCCUGCCACGAUACGACCGUAGCCCACUCUUUAAUCAUUGCGCAGCCUUGAAUUUAAUGCUGUCGGAAAUGCG